CCCUUAGAUGUUCUGGGCCGCACACGCGCUACACUGAAGGAGGCAGCGUGUACUCCUGGAUCGAAAGAUUUGGGUAACCCGCGAAUCUCCUUCGUGCUAGGGAUUGAGGUUUGCAAUUAUCCUUCAUGAACGAGGAAUUCCCAGUAAGUACAAGUCAUAAGCUUGCGCUGACUACGUCCCUGCCCUUUGUACACACCGCCCGUCGCUACUACCGAUUGAAUGAUUUAGUGAGGACUUCGGACUGGGACCGAUGCGGCUUUCGGGCUGCGUCGGUAUUCUGGAAAGAUGUCCAAACUGUAUCAUUUAGAGGAAGUAAAANUCGUAACA
rnacentral:rRNA from 1 species